UUCUAUGGCCAUGCUACCCUGAACAAGCCUGAUCCCGUCUGAUCUCAGAAGCUAAGCAGUGUUGGGCCUUGGAUGGGAGACCACCUAGGAAGACCAGGUACAGUAGACA
rnacentral:rRNA from 1 species